UUAAUUGUAGUCCAUGACGGGGGAAAAUGCUCUGAACUUUAAAUCAUGCGCAAUAUGUUAUCGUGAAGUAUCCUUGAGACUGAAAUCGUCUAUAAUUAAUAGCAAUUUUAUGGGUCUGAUUACAUUUUUCAGGUCCAUUACAAAAUCUGUGAUUACCUUUGAAGCACAAUCUUAGGCUAUCAUGUUCUGUUUCCAGAUGAAUUUGAAACUGAACAACGUAAGGAUGUCAAUAGUAAGGGGUUGAUUUUAAACGGACGACUUCUAUUUGACUUGAGCGCGGUAAAAUCAUAACAAAUUGGAUUGUUGGAUUUUCUCCGAUUGCAACUCUAGAAUAUUCACCAUGAUAGCAAAAUUUAUCUUUAAAGUGGUUAUAGUUUUGACGCUUAUCCGAAUGGCACACAUGGAGAAAAAUGAGAGAUCUCAAGAGCCUUCACACACACCCUGUGACAAAGCGUCCCCAGCGACAACCUACUGGACAGAGUGGUACUCGGCCUCAAACGACGUCGGAUCAAACGAGCAAGACUUUAGACAUG